rnacentral:SRP_RNA from 1 species
GCUGGACACGGUGGUGCAUGCCUGUAGUCCCAGCUACUUGGGAGGCUGAGGUGGGAAGAUCGCUUGAGCCCAGGAGUUCUGGGCUGUAGUGCACUAUGCUGAUCAGGUGUCUGCACUAAGUUCAGCAUCAAUAUGGUGACCUCGCCAGAGCGGGGGACCACCAGGUUGCCUAAGGAGGGGUGAACCCACCCAGGUCAGAAAUGAAGCAGGUCAAAACUCCUGUGCUGAUCUGUAGUGGAAUCGCACCUGUGAAUAGCCACUGCACUCCAGCCUGGGCAGCAUAGUGAGACCCCCAUCUCU